rnacentral:rRNA from 1 species
CAGUCGAACGAGCGAGAGAGAGCUUGCUUUCUCGAGCGAGUGGCGAACGGGUGAGUAACGCGUGAGGAACCUGCCUCAAAGAGGGGGACAACAGUUGGAAACGACUGCUAAUACCGCAUAAGCCCACGGCUCGGCAUCGAGCAGGGGGAAAAGGAGUAAUCCGCUUUGAGAUGGCCUCGCGUCCGAUUAGCUAGUUGGUGAGGUAACGGCCCACCAAGGCGACGAUCGGUAGCCGGACUGAGAGGUUGAACGGCCACAUUGGGACUGAGACACGGCCCAGACUCCUACGGGAGGCAGCAGUGGGGAAUAUUGCACAAUGGGGGAAACCCUGAUGCAGCGACGCCGCGUGGAGGAAGAAGGUCUUCGGAUUGUAAACUCCUGUUGUUGGGGAAGAUAAUGACGGUACCCAACAAGGAAGUGACGGCUAACUACGUGCCAGCAGCCGCGGUAAAACGUAGGUCACAAGCGUUGUCCGGAAUUACUGGGUGUAAAGGGAGCGCAGGCGGGAAGACAAGUUGGAAGUGAAAUCUAUGGGCUCAACCCAUAAACUGCUUUUAAAACUGUUUUUCUUGAGUAGUGCAGAGGUAGGCGGAAUUCCCGGUGUAGCGGUGGAAUGCGUAGAUAUCGGGAGGAACACCAGUGGCGAAGGCGGCCUACUGGGCACCAACUGACGCUGAGGCUCGAAAGUGUGGGUAGCAAACAGGAUUAGAUACCCUGGUAGUCCACACCGUAAACGAUGAUUACUAGGUGUUGGA